rnacentral:rRNA from 1 species
UACGUAGGGGGGCAAGCGUUGUUCGGAAUUACUGGGCGUAAAGGGCGCGUAGGCGGCCCAGUCAGUCCGCUCUGAAAGUCAGGGGCUCAACCCCUGAAUGCGGGUGGAUACUGCUGGGCUAGAGUCCGGAAGAGGCGAGUGGAAUUCCUGGUGUAGCGGUGAAAUGCGUAGAUAUUGGGAGGAACACCAGUGGCGAAGGCGGCUACCUGGACCGGUACUGACGCUGAUGCGCGAAAGCGUGGGUAGCAAACAGG